CUAACACUUUAAGUAAUGGAUGUCUUGGUUCUCAUAACGAUGAAGGACGCAGCAAAGUGCGAUAAGCAAUGUGAACUGCAUAAUUCUAUGAACAAUCAGAUCUCUCAACGCAAAUAGCAGUAAUUUACAUUACUAUAUUUAUAUCAGUGUCUAUUAA
rnacentral:rRNA from 1 species